UUGUGGUUUAACUGCCUCUCUCCCUUUUGGAAACUGAAUCCUGCAUGAUAUUCUUUUAAAAAUCAUAGUCCAUUGUUUUUUCUUUUUUGUUGUUGUUUUUAAAGAACUCUAAAGGCUUCAAAGCGAUUCUUUGACUAAGUAGCACAGCUCCAUAUAGGACCCCACUCCCCUGAUCCAAGCCUAGUGUCCAUUUAAUGAAACCAGAUUAGAAGGGAUUAUUGCUGGCUCUGGAGAGGCCGCUGCCACAAACAAUGUGUCACUCGAGAUUGUGCGGCUAUAAUACAGUUGUGCUCAGCUUGCCUUCACGUUUGUAUCCACCUGGAAACUCUCUUUCCCGGGGGUCACCUCAGGUCAGCACCCUGGAUGGCUGCUCCUUUCAGGUGGGGACUCUUGUCUGGAUUCCCUGCAGGCAUGUAGACAACUGUCUUGUAUUCCCUGUGAAGUAAAGCAAAAAAGUGCAGACUCUCCACAUCCCUCUCAGCAUGUGACCUCACUUGCUGUCCGCAUCCAUACCCACAGCCGUCUCACGUGUUGGCAACAUCUCCCAGCAGAGUGUGCAUUGUUCCAGUGAGAUCACUUUCCAGGGCCCUGGCACGGUCUGCUUCACCCUGUAUUGUGCCGUCCAUGUGUUUGAGAGAAGGAGCGAGAACAACUGUCUGCCAUUGUACCCUCAUAAAGAACUGCUUCACGGCCCCAGACACCUCUGCUCUCAGUUCACAGCCCAGCCCCAGACCCUGGCACACAUCUUUUGUUGCAGGCCAAUUUUUGCUCAAAGGCUUUGCUCGUCGACCCACUUCAUUUGUGUUGGGUACAUAAUGGAGAACAAUGAGGACUAAGAUAGCCACCCCUCCAACUGCGAGGAGGGGGUGAUGGUAGGGCCAGGUAAAAUAUCAAGAGAGCAAAGGCAAGAAAUCGUGAUUCCACUGCAACUCGAAAGAUACCGGUAAAGGCUGCAAAGAGAGUGGGGCCUGCUACCAGGACGUCUCCACCACGAUUGAACUAUGAGCCGAAAUGAACGCUUCCGCCUGAGGGUGCUUUAUGAAUCCUAUUUAUUUUACCACAGCACCACACCAAAGGAAUAUACCAGCUUCAUUUGCAAAGGCAAGCUCCUGGACCCUUUACUCACUGGAGAAAUAGAGUCAGAGGGACAGUUUAAGAAGGUGUGCUGGAUUGUUUUAUGUCAACUUGCUGCAAACUGAAGUCAUUUGAGAGGAGGGCGCCUGAACCGUGAAGAUGCCUCCAUAAGACUGGGCUGUAGGCAGGCCUGUUCAAUGGACCAUAGACUUGGAGUAUUUGGGAAGAAUCACAACUAUACAGCCUGUAGUCUUCUCGUCCACUCCUUCCUACACAGCAGACACAGCAUCCACACUGUAUUAGGUGCUGUACAUCACUGGAGAUGAUGUAAGAGAUACAGGAUGGUGCGGCUAAGGCAUUUACUAGGUGGUCUUCAAUUUCCACGAGGAAGACAAUGGCAUCUCUUGCGAGGCGUGGCUUCUGAUUCUGACUUAACUCCUCGGCUCCUUCCACCCAGGUCUCCAGAGUCACAUUUAUCUACCUGUCCAUCUUGCUGGCAUCCCCCAGACUUCAUUUCUCAGAGUAAUCUCUCACCCUUGAACUACUCCAUCCCAAGAUAAAACCCAUUUUGGAACUCCUGUGGCAUUCAUUACCCAUUUCACCUCAUGAGACUAAAUGCUACUCUCUGUGCCUUGAUUUCUACAUUAUACAUGGAUAUAAUGGCAUCAUCUCUUGUGAUGAAGAUUUAAGGGGUGACUAUUUACAAGUCUGCCCAGAGCCACGCCUCCUUUUACACCCUCUGUUUCAGGAAUGUUCUCAGGAAUGUUUCAGACCCCCUUACACCCUCUGUUUCUGGGAAACCUAGCCAGUUAUCUGUUCUUACCAGUACACCUGCAAUUUACGGUUUUGGUUAAGGAUUAUAGGAACUGAAAGAACAAUGGGAGGGUGGUGACGGUGAUGAAUUGGUCUUGGGCCCUGUGUGGCCUUCCCACCUGCUUGUCUUUUUAAGUUGCUGUUCUGAAAUAAAAUUUGAGAGCUUGAUGAGACAAU
rnacentral:sRNA from 1 species